ACUCUCUCUCUCAAAAGUAAAUAAAUAAACAUUUAAAAAGAAAGAAUCGAAUAGGGUAACACUAGCACCAACCCACCCCUGCCCCAGGGCCUUGGCACAUUCUGGCUCCUUAUCUGUCGCUUGCUUCCCUCCCUGACCACCUAGGAGAAGUAGACUGCUUCGUGCCUCUGCUGGCCAGGGCGAGGGCCUGGGCCGGAGCCUGGGAGGAGGUGGGGCACUGGAGUGGCGAGGGCCAGCGGGGCACCCGGUUACGAUCCCCACUCAGGAGUCAGACCAACCUGGGUCUGAGCCCUGGCCCCUCCACUGGACAGCUCUGUGGCCUUGGGCAAGUUACUAAACCUCUCAGAGCCUUCAUUCUCUCAUUUGCUUAAUGGUAAUAAUAACAGUUCCAUAAUAACAGUAUCUUCCCCACUGGGACACGUGGGACACAGCUAUUAUUGUUAGUAUCAUCAGCUGGUGGGGGAAAGGGGGUGCUGUGCAGGGAGACUGUGUCUCCCCAGUGGCCCGAGGUUGUUGGAAGCUUCCAGUGAAGGUGACGGGCAGCCUUGAGUGGCGGGAGUGAGGACGGGGCGUCCAGCACCCACAUCCCCUCUGCCUGCAUCUCUCAGGCUGAGGUGCGAUUCUCUGGGGGGACCCCCCACGCUCCCAGCUAUGCUGGUGGUGGAGCUGGGUGAGGCCUCUUUUUCCAGCCAGAUGCCCUUUAGGCCUGGGGCAGGGCCACCCCCUCCUCCCCUCUGCCAGCAGGGCCCCGGCCAAGAUGCCUUUAUUUUUAAACCAGCGAACAAUGCCUGGCCCUGCACAGCCUCCUACAGAGGACAGAGAGAGCAAGGAUGGGCUGGGAGCCGCACUUCCUGGGCCGACACUCCUCAUCCCGGACAGGUCUGAAUUUGCAAAGCAAUGCUCUGUGGCUUUCAAGCUAGGUCAGAAAACGCAACGUAGCUUCUGCUUGGUUCUCUUGGGACACUCACCUCUGGAGCUCUGGGCCGCCAUGCUGUGAGGAAGCGCAAUGAGCCCCCACAGACCAAAUGGAGAGCUCCUGGCGGUCCGGAGGGGGACCCAGCCAGCUCACAACCCCCCCCCACCCCUGCUCUUCCAGUUCCAGCCACCAUCAGCAACUGCACGGGAGAUCCUAUGCCAGACCACUGAGUCAGACCCAUCCCAAGUCCCCGGGCUGCAGAUACUAUGACAAACAAUAAAAUGAUUCUGAUUGUCUUAAGCUA